AGUGAACGCUGGCGGUAGGCCUAACACAUGCAAGUCGAACGGCAGCACAGUAAGAGCUUGCUCUUACGGGUGGCGAGUGGCGGACGGGUGAGGAAUACAUCGGAAUCUACUUUUUCGUGGGGGAUAACGUAGGGAAACUUACGCUAAUACCGCAUACGACCUACGGGUGAAAGCAGGGGAUCUUCGGACCUUGUGCGAUUGAAUGAGCCGAUGUCGGAUUAGCUAGUUGGCGGGGUAAAGGCCCACCAAGGCGACGAUCCGUAGCUGGUCUGAGAGGAUGAUCAGCCACACUGGAACGGAGACACGGUCCAGACUCCUACGGGAGGCAGCAGUGGGGAAUAUUGGACAAAGGGCGCAAGCCUGAUCCAGCCAUACCGCGUGGGUGAAGAAGGCCUUCGGGUUGUAAAGCCCUUUUGUUGGGAAAGAAAAGCAGCAGGUUAAUACCCCGCUGUUCUGACGGUACCCAAAGAAUAAGCACCGGCUAACUUCGUG
rnacentral:rRNA from 1 species